UACGAAGGGGGCUAGCGUUGUUCGGAUUUACUGGGCGUAAAGCGCACGUAGGCGGCUCGAUCAGUCAGGGGUGAAAUCCCAGAGCUCAACUCUGGAACUGCCUUUGAUACUGUCGAUCUGGAGUAUGGAAGAGGUGAGUGGAAUUCCGAGUGUAGAGGUGAAAUUCGUAGAUAUUCGGAGGAACACCAGUGGCGAAGGCGGCUCACUGGUCCAUUACUGACGCUGAGGUGCGAAAGCGUGGGGAGCAAACAGG
rnacentral:rRNA from 1 species